rnacentral:rRNA from 1 species
UUAAAAAGCUCGUAGUUGGAUUUCGGAGUGGGCCAGUUGGUCCGCCGCAAGGUGUGUUACUGACUGGUCUGCUCUUCUUCGCAAAGACUGCGUGUGCUCUUUGUUGAGUGUGCGUAGGAUUUACGACGUUUACUUUGAAAAAAUUAGAGUGUUCAAAGCAGGCUAUUGCUUGAAUACAUGAGCAUGGAAUAAUGGAAUAGGACUUUGGUCCCAUUUUGUUGGUUUCUAGGACCGAAGUAAUGAUUAAGAGGGACAAUUGGGGGCAUCCGUAUU